UUCAUUGAUUCAAUUUCCAUU
rnacentral:piRNA from 1 species